CCAAUAGCGUAUAUUAAAGUUGUUGCAGUUAAAAAGCUCGUAGUUGAAUUUCGGGAUUGACGUGACGGUCGUGCCUUACGGGGUAUGAACUGUUGCUGUUGAUUUCUCACCUUCUGGAGAAACUUGAUGUCCUUAAUUGGGUGUCUUGCGGAUCCAGGACCUUUACCUUGAAAAAAUUAGAGUGUUUAAAGCAGGCAUUU
rnacentral:rRNA from 2 species